AACAUACUAAGUGAUCACUUUCAAAUUCAGAGAAACCCUGGAAUUAGAAAUGGGCAAUCCUGAGCCAAAUCCUGUUUUACGAAAAAACAAAAAAGAAUCAAAUCAAAAAAGGAUAGGUGCAGAGACUCAAUGGAAGCUGUUCUAAAAAAUGGAGUUGACUGCUGCAUCGCGUUAGUCAAGUCGAGGAAUCCUUGCAUCGAAACUUUUUCAAGGAUGAAGGAUAACCUUUCUUUCUAUAAAACUCUCAAAAUAAAAAGACUUUUUCAAUUAAUUGGAAGUUGAAGAAAGAAUCAAAUAUGAUUUAAUAAAAUCAUUUACUCCAAAGUCUGAUAUAUAUUUUUCAAAAUAGAUUAGUCAGACGAGAAUAAAGAUAGAGUCCCAUUCUAUAUGUCAGUA
rnacentral:tRNA from 1 species